GUUCAAUGUCAUGACCCUCGACAAUUCACUGGAGGCAGCCACAACUAACGAGUGGGUGUUAAUGCUUGAGACUAAACGUCUCGCCUUCAAGCUACUUUGCUGGAGGUUCCCUUGGCCAUCUCCCGCUCUCUAAUGAUCAUCCCCGGGUCUCCCUGCAAUGUAUAAGAGAACUGAGGCUCGGACAGAAAGAAUGACGUUACCGAAAGUGGCUUUGCUUCUGCCUUGCCAGCCCAUUGCGCACUGCCUGCCGUGGUUCCAGCCCUCGCUGCCUCUCUUGACUAGCGUAGACCUGCCAUUGCGCCAGGCUCCCAUCGCUGCCAUGACUGGAAGAGGAGGCUGGAUGAACAGCUCACAGGAGGAACAGAAGGGUCAGAAGAUGGAUGUGGAGUUUCCCCACCCAGAAAUGUCACCACCUGGCUGUGGGCUCCAGCCUCAGUUUCUCCAUCUGUAAAGGGAGGAUUGCGCUGGGGGAUCUCAGCAGCCCCUCCUGCUCCUGCUCCAAGGUGCUGCAGAACUCUUCUCUGGACCCCCACAUGGCUUUGCCUCUCAGGCCAGCCCUUGGAAGCGAUGCUGGGUGAGGCUUGGAGGGUUUCAGGAGGAAGGGUUUCUGUGUGACCCUUCCACCCCCUGGCAUGGCUGCAAUGGCUAAAACCGAGGUGCCGUAGAAUCUGGCUUCUGUGAGUUGUCCCAUUAAUAUUCCCUCCAGGAAGCCCUGCCAGACAGGGAGGAGGCAGGGGGCAGAUGGGGCACUGAGAGGCCAAGUAAUCUGCUUAAGGUCACCCAGCAAAGCAGCAGCAAGCUGGACCAGGCCCCAGGCCUCCAGAUG
rnacentral:lncRNA from 13 species